CGUAGGAUCUGCUACUUACUAUUAAGUCACUUUUGACUUGUAGUCCUUAUCUAACACUGUUUGGAUUCAGGACAGUCCAAGGCUUGUUGCUUUUGUCAUCAGGCUUUCAGAUUCCGCUGGGAGUGGAUAUGGUUGUCAGCUUGAUUGCUUUCACUUGAGUUGGACCCUUUUUGGAUUUCUGCCUUUGAUCCGGCCCGGUGACGGCGAGCGAUAUUCUUGUUGCUUCUCAAUCACAUCUUGAGCCACACACAUUCUUGGACACAUGGAAUACUUUUAUUUUUAAAUAUCUUUGAUCUUAUUGUCUAUAAAUCCCCUGAAGAAGGGAGAAUUUCCGAAACAGCUGUUGGGUGUGACUCUAAGCAGCCUUGUGUUUCCUGUUCAAUUACGUAUUUGAAUGAUUUGUAUUCAUGAUGUAAAUAUUUUUGAUA